rnacentral:lncRNA from 1 species
GGUAUUCAACUAAGAUUAAUGACCAUAAGAUAUACUUGAAAGUUCUGGCUGUCAAUGCUUGCUUUCUAAUAAAUGUCUGAUACAGAAAGAUUUUUGGAUUCAUGCAGGCGGUUUCACAUUGCCAGUCAAAAGUGGCGAGACCUACAUGCUACGGUUGAUCAAUGCAGCACUCAAUGAAGAGCUCUUCUUCAAAAUUGCAGGGCAUAAGCUUACAGUCGUCGAAGUUGAUGCCACCUAUGUUAAACCAUUCAAAACCGAUACAGUCCUAAUUGCCCCAGGCCAGACCACCAAUGUCCUUGUCACAACUAACAAAAAUACAGGCAAGUACUUGGUUGCUGCCUCCCCGUUCAUGGAUUCUCCAAUUGCUGUGGACAACAUGACAGCAACAGCCACUUUGCAGUAUUCAGGAGCACUUGCUAACUCCCCUACAACUCUCACCACCCCACCUCCAAAGAAUGCCACUGCAGUUGCCAACCAAUUUACCAACUCUCUACGCAGCCUUAACUCAAGAAGAUUUCCUGCCAAAGUCCCAUUGAACGUUGAUCACAACCUUUUCUUUACAGUUAGUCUAGGAGUUAACCCAUGUCCAAGUUGCAAAGCUGGUAAUGGCAGCAGGGUUGUUGCUAGUAUUAACAAUGUCACAUUUGUGAUGCCAACCACUGCCCUGCUCCAAGCACAUUUCCUCAACAUCAGCGGUGUGUUCACCACUGAUUUUCCUGCAAAGCCACCGCAUGUUUUCAAUUACACUGGCACUCCACCUACAAAUUUACAGACCAAAAGUGGAACUAAAGUUUAUAGGCUGAGCUACAACUCGACAGUCCAACUUGUUAUGCAAGAUACUGGUAUCAUAUCCCCUGAGAACCAUCCGAUCCAUUUACAUGGAUUCAAUUUCUUUGCUGUCGGUAGGGGAGUAGGGAAUUACAAUCCGAAGACUGAUACUAAGAAGUUUAACCUCGUUGAUCCUGUUGAACGGAACACAAUUGGAGUACCUUCUGGUGGAUGGGUGGCGAUAAGAUUUCGCGCCGAUAAUCCAGGUAAUUGCUGUUUAAUGUUUUCGUUUGGAAGUACAGAGCUUGGCAUUUUCAAGUUUGUUUAAUUUCAUGUUCUCUGAUUUUCUUCUUCGCAUCUCUUGUAGGAGUUUGGUUCAUGCAUUGCCAUCUAGAGGUGCACACUACAUGGGGACUUAAGAUGGCGUUCUUGGUAGACAAUGGCAAAGGCCCUAAGGAGUCUCUUCUACCGCCGCCAAGCGACCUUCCAAAAUGUUGAAGUCAGAUCAAGAACUAUACUAACUCGAGGGAUAGAAGCCAUACUUUAUCAGGAAACUUGGUCCCGGUAGAAACAUUCUAUGCUCGAAGAGAGCAGAGUGUGUAUAUAUAUAAUUUGAGGGUUAAAGAUCCGAUUUGUUUCUUGAGUGAAUUGGAAGAUUUGCUCAAGCGAGUUUGCAUAAAAUUUUGUGAGCGGUAGAGCUGUUUCAAUUCAAAUGUUAUUUUUUCUUGAAUAAAUAUAUAUAUAUUGAAGAUUUGAUCACAAAGCCAUUCAUGAUCAAUAAAACUUGUAUGCUUCUAAAUAUGUUCAUGGGUCGGGUUGGAUAAGACCUAGAUCAGGCCCGAUUAACUUUUCUAAGUUAUAUUGACCCGUAUCUGGCCAGAAUCGAUCCUUGGGCUUUCAAGCCCUUUAAGAAAUAAAAAAUAAAAAAUAAAAGCAAAAUAAUAUGUAGCAAUAGAAAUUAGUUUUUUUUUUUUUGAGACAAGUAUCGAAAUUGUUAAAGAAUAAGGAAGCAAAGUUUUAGCACGGCGAAACAAAUAUUUAUAUAACGCGGCAAUGAUUAGAAAUUCUAGCAAUGAUUGCAUUUCUUAGACCCAAAAGCUGUAUGUUUUUAAAUAUUUUUGAUAUGGUAAAGUAAGAAAUUAUUAUUUUAAUAUAUUUUAAAAUAAAAAAUUUUAAAAAUUAAUUUUUAUCACAAUCUCAAAUAAACAUUAGGUGAAAAGAAAAAAGAAAAGGAACAAUACAAACUGAAGCAUGGAGUUAGAACUUAAUUUUGUAGUUUAUUAAAAUAAAUAAAUUAAUUAUGGUUUUAACUAUAUAUUUACUCUUUUUGUUUUUAAAACCAUUUAUAACUUAAUAUUUUUCAUCCCUUUUAUGUUGUUUUUUCAAUAUAUUUAUUUUUUGUUUUAAAAACAGAAAAAAGAAAAGAAAAAGAAAAAGAUAAAUUAAGAAGAUUGAUAAAAUAGAAGAUACCUUUAUUUUUUUUCCCAAUAUGCUACGGCUAAAACUGGUUAGGAAAAUAGUGUAGCUGCAGAUGCAUUGGCACUGUUCACUAGAACAUUCUAAUGACAUCUUUGUCUUUUCCAUAAAAAAAACUUAUAACUAGUUUCUGGGAACAUGAAAGUCUUUUGACGAUGUGCAUUAGUCAUUCUUAAAUUAAUUAGGGGCAAUUAUGUCUUUUUCAAUUUAAAAAUACAGUGAAAAGACCGAAAUGCCCUUAAAAGCAAAAAAUUCAAUGCUAGCAUCAAGGGACAAUUUGAUACUUUUAAAAUUGUUUUUUUCUAUUAUUAUCAUGUAAGAUGAGGAGCAAUUUUGUAUUUGGAUAAAUAUAUAUAAAAAAUAAAAAACAUAGUGAAACGAUCAAAAUGUCCUUGGAAGUCUAAACAUAAAAAAAAAUGAUCUCAAGGGACUUUUUCCAUAGGUUUUUAUCUCAAAGCCUUCCCAAACUUCGAUUGAUAUUCAAUUUUAACUCUAUAAAAAAUAAGGUCUGUGAAAUCUUUUGGUAAAAUAUCAAUUCGAUCCAACGUUCAAAUUAAAAAUUAUGCUUGUUAGCGUAAAACUGUACAUUAGAAAAAAAAAGCCCAAAAUUACCUCUCAUUACCCAACCCUUUUAUGGACCACAUUAAUCAAGGCUUAGUCACCUUUUCUUGAAAAUUUAAAACUUGACUUGACCCAAAUAUCUUGAAUAAGCCCAUCGAAUAACUCUUCAAUCUUUUUGGUCGAAUGAUACAAGGUCAAAAUCUUUGGCUUCUCCUUCCUCAUUCUCAUCAACCAUCUCAUCAAUGAUCCUACACCUCACCAAACAUCACAUUCAUCCUCUCAAAUUGUUGUUCUAUAACCAGCAAUUUAAGAUGUCCUCCUUCUUCUUUUCAGAGGAUGCCCCGUCUUUGGAAGACAUUAUCAAAUUUAAAAUUUUACGUUAGUAAUAAAAAACAAUUAUCAUCACUCACUCCCUUAUGUGUUUACACUCUAUAAUCAACGGGUUGUAGUUGUUCAUCCAAUAGCUUCGAUUCUUUGGUUCAAGGUAAACACUAGAUCGAGUUUUUAUCUUCAAUUCGAUUUUAUCUUUUUUGGGUUGUAUUUUUUCUUGUUUAUGAGUUCACAUCACAAGAAACUAUUUUAUAAUAAACCUAAACCUAGGUUCGAGCCACAUCGUGUCGACACGUGCUUGCGUAUGGGUUUAAGUUCAAAACCCACUUUGCUUAUGUCAUUUUCCCUCUAAAAAAUUGGGUUCCUUUUGGUCUCAAUAUUAACUCUUCGCCUUCUCAUUAAAUAAGUCACAAGAAAAACUUAUUUCUUUCCAACACGGAUAGAGUUUUUAAAGGGUUUGGGUUUCACUAAAACAUGUCAAUCAAAGGUUCUUUGAGAAUAAUUUUUUAUUCAUCCAUAAUUUAAUUAAAUCAUAUUAGUGUUCUAUGUUAAAGAGCUUAUAUUGGAUAUUAAAUUCCAACAAAGUUUUAACCCCAAAAAUGAAUGGAUCCACUUUUAAUUUGGCCUCAAAUAUUUCCAUUAACCAUGUUCCAAGACAAAAUUUGCAACAAAAUGUCCCAUUAACAAAGCAGAAUGUUUUUGUUACAAUACUAAUGUCAGUAAAAAUGAGUAGAGAAUGUUGAUGAAUUUAGAUAUAACUAGUUUAUUUUCUACACUAUCAUUGUGGGUUGGAUGAAAUUUUUUUGGAACAUAAGAAAAUAAUAUAUAAACCAUAUGAAACUUUUCGGCAUUGUCAUUAAAUUAGGUGCAACAGUUCAAACUUGACAACUCUUAACAUGACUAUUUGUUUAGCUCAAGUUUUUAAUUAAAUCAUAUGAAAGUUGCUCUUAUGUGACAUUGUUUACUGGGUAGGUGCAAAGAAAAAAAAACACGUUAGGUUCAACCUAAUCAACCCACCAAACUCGUGAUCGAAGUUAUGAGCUUCACUAGGUCAAAUUAAUUUUUUUUAUUUUAUUAUAUAAUAAAAAUAUAAAUUUUUAUUUACCAUCAACACAAUACUAAAAAAUAAAAUUAAAAAGAAAAACUUCACAUUAAAAGAUAAUAUUGAAAGAAAAAAAUAAAAUAUGUAAAAAAUACUCUAAUGGUGUGCUAUGAUAAAGCCAAACACGCGGGCACGUGGGCUUGGGGAAGGCCUGCAGCUUGGGCUGUGCACAUCUUUUUUAUUUGCAAAAAAGAAGAAAAGCAACCUCUCAUCUAUCUUUUGAAAGAAUAUACUGCUAUCUGUAGCUAGGAAUCAAACCCACAACCUCCACACCUACCUCCUUGCUUACCACCACUUGAACUAUGACAAGAACUUAACCAAGCUAUUAAAAUAUAUCAACUUGAUUUUAAUAACUAAGCCAAAUCCAGCCAUUUAGUUGUUCCUUUUUACUAUUAGAUUUGAAAUCAAUGGUUUUAACAAACCAGCAUUUUAGACAUUCCCAAAACAGACGGAUGCGCAAAAGCAUUGAAUUGAAUUGAAAAUAUUGAUCGGAUCAUGCAUGGAUUUUCAUAUAAAAAAAACACAUCACCGUGGAAAGGACCUGGUGAGCACUCAUCAUUAGAAUUCAGAGCCGCAAGUAAUCCUGGGACAUCCUUUACAAGGACUACAAGUAAUGCCUUGAAAAAGAGAGUUCGGCCUACCAAACUUAACCCGUAUUGUUCUUAAAUCUACGAAGAGCACCAGGUCCUAAAAAAGAGUAGCAAAAUAAAAUAAAUUCUAAGGCAACUAAUUGAAAAUGGUGAUUAAUUAAGGUGACUUGUCCGUUGCUGAUCAAUUGACCACAUGUUCUUUUACUCUAUUUUUAUAUUGUUGUGAACCUACUUGAGUAAAUAGCAGGACAAGAGAAUGUUUUCAGGAUAAAUAUGUAGGAAGUGGGUGCCAAAUUUAAUCAUUUAAUUUACAGAUUUCCUAUGCCACCAAAUUAUCAAACUUCCAUGCAAGGUUCCUAAUUAAUAAAUGCAAAAAUUAGAAAACACAUGGUCUGCUUCCCAAACUAUGUUGAUCCAUGAACAAGACGACUUUAUGUAGCAUGUAAGAAACCUAGUAAGAUUAGGCUUCUAAUCCUUGUUUUCCAAGAAUGAACUCACCCACCUAACCUAACUGUGAAAAACGACAUGGCAGCAAUUCCCAUAUUCCCUUUAUAAGGUUGAGGUAGCCAGUCACGGAUGAAGACAACAAGCUUGAAAGCAAGAAGGAAACCAACAGCAACAGAGAGAUUGCCAAAGAAAGGUCUCGAAGUCAGCAAAUAUGGAGUACUCCAAUUUGCUCAUCCGUUUUAUGCUUCUUGCUGUCUGCCUCCUCCCCGCUUUGGUCGAGUGCAGGAUUCGGCAUUACAAGUUCAAUGUAAGUUAAAUGCUGUAGCAAGCUUCCAUGUGACGAAAGCCUGAACUGCUUGCGCUUUAGGUCAUUAGUCUCAUUCAUGUGACGAAAAUCUUCUUUGAAAUGCAUUUCGUUAUUAGAAGAUAGCCAUGUUUUGCACGAUGCAUUGCGCAUCAUGACACUGCCUUGGCUUAAAAUCAUGCAACUUUACCCAUAUCUUUUUCCUGACUAGUCCAUGAUUCAAAUGGAAAUCAUAGAGUUUCCACCUACCUAUAGCCACUAUUUUAAAUACCAGAAAAGUUUAUUCUCAUGCUUACUUUAUGGUUAAAUAAUUGCAGCAGAAAGCUCUCACUAUAUAUAUAUAUAUAUAUAUAUAUAUAUAUAUAUAUAUAUAUAUGUUCAAGAAACCAUUAAAAAAAUAUUAAAUAGGAAAAGGGUGGUAAGAUCUCAAAGCACUGUAGUGACAUAAUUUGUCACAACAAAUUAAACAAUAUGGACAGUUUAGCAUUUGAUGUAGAAAUGAGCUUAAAUAUUUCACCUAUCAUUUCAACAGGUGGUGAUGAAAAAUACUACCAGACUAUGCUCUAGGAAGCCGAUUGUUACCGUCAAUGGCCGCUUCCCAGGACCCACUCUGUAUGCCAGAGAACACGAUACAGUUCUUGUAAAAGUUGUUAACCAUGUCAAAUAUAAUGUUUCUAUUCACUGGUAAGCUAACGAAACAAACCCUGUAUAACAGUUAUACUUCAAUUCAUCAUGAAUGAUACCGAUGCGGAUUUUUCUUGGUAUUCUGCAGGCAUGGCAUUAGGCAACUAAGAACGGGCUGGGCUGAUGGACCAGCAUACAUUACACAAUGCCCCAUUCAGCCAGGGCAAAGCUAUGUCUACAAUUUCACAAUCACUGGUCAGAGGGGCACACUUCUUUGGCACGCACAUAUUCUCUGGCUAAGGGCCACAGUUCAUGGUGCCCUGGUUGUCUUGCCUAAACGCGGCAUCCCCUACCCAUUCCCAGCUCCUCAUAAAGAAGUGCUUGUUGUAUUAGGUGAGCAGGAUACAUAAUAGCUAUUUCUUUCACUAAAACUUUUGAAAUUCUGUGCAUUCCGCCAUAAUUCAAAUCUUUAAGGUUCAUGGUUAUUAAAUAUGUAACCUGAGACUAAGGUGGUGACGUGAAAUUGCAGCUGAAUGGUGGAAAUCAGAUACUGAAGCUGUGAUCAACGAGGCUCUUAAAUCUGGAUUAGCUCCAAAUGUCUCUGAUGCUCACACAAUUAACGGCCAUCCAGGAGCUGUCUCAGCUUGUUCUUCACAGGGUAUUCAACUAAGAUUAAUGACCAUAAGAUAUACCUGUGAGUUCUGGCUCUCAAUGCUUGCUUUCUAAUAGAGGUCUGAUACAGAAAGAUUUUUGGAUUCAUGCAGGCGGUUUCACAUUGCCAGUCAAAAGUGGCGAGACCUACAUGCUACGGUUGAUCAAUGCUGCACUCAAUGAAGAGCUCUUCUUCAAAAUUGCAGGGCAUAAGCUUACAGUCGUCGAAGUGGAUGCCACCUAUGUUAAACCAUUCAAAACCGAUACAGUCCUAAUUGCCCCAGGCCAGACCACCAAUGUCCUUGUCACAGCUAACAAAAAUACAGGCAAGUACUUGGUUGCUGCCUCCCCGUUCAUGGAUGCUCCAAUUGCUGUGGACAACAUGACAGCAACAGCCACUUUGCAGUAUUCAGGAGCACUUGCUAACUCCCCUACAACUCUCACCACCCCACCUCCAAAGAAUGCCACUGCAGUUGCCAACCAAUUUACCAACUCUCUACGCAGCCUUAACUCAAGAAGAUUUCCUGCCAAAGUCCCAUUGAACGUUGAUCACAACCUUUUCUUUACAGUUGGUCUAGGAGUUAACCCAUGUCCAAGUUGCAAAGCUGGUAAUGGCAGCAGGGUUGUUGCUAGUAUUAACAAUGUCACAUUUGUGAUGCCAACCACUGCCCUGCUCCAAGCACAUUUCCUCAACAUCAGCGGUGUGUUCACCACUGAUUUUCCUGCAAAGCCACCGCAUGUUUUCAAUUACACUGGCACUCCACCUACAAAUUUACAGACCAAAAGUGGAACUAAAGUUUAUAGGCUGAGCUACAACUCGACAGUCCAACUUGUUAUGCAAGAUACUGGGAUCAUAUCCCCUGAGAACCAUCCGAUCCAUUUACAUGGAUUCAAUUUCUUUGCUGUCGGUAGGGGAGUAGGGAAUUACAAUCCGAAGACUGAUACUAAGAAAUUUAACCUCGUUGAUCCUGUUGAACGGAACACAAUUGGAGUACCUUCUGGUGGAUGGGUGGCGAUAAGAUUUCGCGCCGAUAAUCCAGGUAAUUGCUGUUUAAUGUUUUCGUUUGGAAGUACAGAGCUUGGCAUUUUCAAGUUUGUUUAAUUUCAUGUUCUCUGAUUUUCUUCUUCGCAUCUCUUGUAGGAGUUUGGUUCAUGCAUUGCCAUCUAGAGGUGCACACUACAUGGGGACUUAAGAUGGCGUUCUUGGUAGACAAUGGCAAAGGCCCUAAGGAGUCUCUUCUACCGCCGCCAAGCGACCUUCCAAAAUGUUGAAGUCAGAUCAAGAACUAUACUAACUCGAGGGAUAGAAGCCAUACUUUAUCAGGAAACUUGGUCCCGGUAGAAACAUUCUAUGAUCGAAGAGAGCAGAGUGUGUAUAUAUAUAAUUUGAGGGUUUAAGAUCCGAUUUGUUUCUUGAGUGAAUUGGAAGAUUUGCUCAAGCGAGUUUUAAUAAAAUUUUGUGAGCGGUAGAGCUGUUUCAAUUCAAAUGUUAUUUUUUCUUGAAUAAAUAUAUCUAUUGAAGAUUUGAUCACGAAGCCAUUCAUGAUCAAUAAAACUUGUAUGUUCUAUAUAUGUUCAUGUGUCGGGUCGGAUUAGACCUAGAUCAGGCCCGAUUAAUUUUUCUAAGCUAUAUUGACCCGAGUCUAGUCAGAAUCGAUACUUGGGCUUUCAAGCCCUUCAAGAAAUUAAAAAAUGAAAGCAAAUAAUAAAUGCUAGAGUUCGAUUAGAACUAGUCUUUUCAUUUUUCAACAAGUAUCAAAAUUGUUAACGACCAAGGAAGCAAAGUUUUAGCACCGUGAAACAAAUAUUUAUAUAUAUAUCACGGCAAUGAUUAGAAAUUCUAGCAAUGAUUGCAUUUCUUAGACCCAAAAGCUGUAUGUUUUUAAAUAUUUUUUAUAGGGUAAUGUUAAAAAUUAUUAUUUUGAUAUAUUUUAAAAUAAAAAAUAAUUUUAAAAAUAAUUUUUAUCAUAUUCUUAAAUAAAUAUUAGGUGAAAAGAGAAAGAAAGGGAAAAAUAUAAACUGAAGCAUGGAGUGACUAGUAACUUAAUUUUGUAGUUUAUUAAAAUAAAUUAAUUAAUUAUAGUUGUAACUAUAUAUUUACUCUCUUUGUUUUUAAAACCAUUUAUAACUUAAUAUUUUUCAUCUAUUAUAUGUUGUUCUUCUAAUUUAUUUAUUUUUUGUUUUAAAAACAAAAAAAAAAGAAAAAGAUAAAAUAAGAAGAUUGAUAAAAUAAAAGAUACCUUCAUUUUUUUUUCAAAUAUGCUAUAGCUAAAAUUGGUUAGGAAAAUAGUGUAGCUGCAGAUAUAUUGACACUGUUCACUAGAACAUUCUAAUGAAGUGAACGUUCUAAUGACGUCUUUGUCUUUUCCAUCAAAAAACUUAUAACUAGUUACUUGGGACAUCAAAGUCUUUUGAUGAGGCACAUUAGUCAUUUCUAAAUUGACUAGGGGAAAUUAUGUCUUUUCCAAUUUAAAAAAUACAGUGAAAUUUCUAAAAUGCUCUUUUAAAAGCAAAAAUCUCAAUAUUGGCAUCAAAGGACAAUUUGAUACUUUUAAAAUGGUUUUUUUUUGUUAUUAUCAUGUAAGAUGAGAAUCAAAAAUAUAUUGAAACGAUUGAAAUGUCCAUAGAAGUCAAAAAAUAAAAUAAAAAUGAUCUUAAAGGGCUUUUUCCAAAGGUUUUUUCAUUAUUAACAUGUAAAAUCAUGGGUGAUUUGAUAUUUGAAUAAAACAAAAUUCAGGCAUAUGUACGACACCAUGAGGCACGCGGGAGGCGCCAACACACUAUGGAUGACGUGUGUGACGCCUUCCAUUGUCCAAAAAUACCCUUUCAUCAUGUCAUUGGAAGCACUGUCGUGUUUUGUUUCCUGUUGGUAUGAUACAUGUCUUUGGUGGUGAUUCAGUUUGUCGUCGAAAGGACUUUCUAUUCUAUUCUUUUUCCUUCUCUUCUCUCUUCUCCCUUAAAAAAUAUAGUUUGCCCUUUUUGUUCUUGAUGUUUCAACUUCAAUAAUUAUUCUUUUGAUUUUUAAUUUUUGUUCCGGGCUCUUUUAUAGAAAUCUUAUUUGUUUUUAAUUUCAUUCUUCAAUCACAAUUCACUAAAUAUCAUAUUCUUUAAUUUGGUCAUUCUUUUGAUUUAUAAUUUUUGUGUAGCCUUAACAAAUAAGGUGUACCUUGCAAAAAUUGGAGCUCUGUUACCGCCUCUCGUGUGUCCAUGUAAAAUAAAGAAACCACUAACUUUUGAAUCCUAAUGAAACAUGGGAACCUUGCCAAUUAAUAACUCUAAUUAUGUCGCCUCAAAUGUCCUUGUAGAAUAAGGAAGUCACUUUAUAGGAAAUCUAUAAGUUAGAAGGAAAGAUAAUCCUAAACCAACUAGGAAACUAAUGCAAUUCCCGCAUAGUACUUUCUAGUUUUUAUCUCAAGGUCUUUCUAAACUCCGAUUGAUAUUUAAUUUUAACCCUAUAAAAAUAAGAUCUGUGAAAUCUUUUGGUAAAAUAUCAAUUCGAUCCAACAUUCAGAUUGAAAAUUAUGAUUGUUAGGGUAAAACUGUAUAUUAGAAGAAAACAAAUGCCCAAAAUUACCUCUCCUUACCCAACCCUUUCAUGGACCACAUUGAUCAAAGCUUAGUCACCCCUUCUUGAAAUUUUGAAACUUGACUUGACCAAAAUAUCUUAAAUAAGCCCAUCGAAUACCUUUUCAAUCUUCUUGGUCGAAUAAUGCAAGGUCAAAAUCUUUGGCUUCUCCUUCCUCAUUCUCAUCAACCAUCUCAUCGAUGAUCCUACACCUCACCAAACAUCACAUUCAUCCUCUCAAAUUGUUGUUCUAUACCCCUAACAAAAAUAAGAUGUUCUCCUCCUCCUUUUUAGAGGAUGCUCCGUCUUUGGAAGACAUUGUCAAAUUUAAAAUUUUACGUUAGCAAUAAAAAACAAUUAUCAUCAUUUACUCCCUUACGUGUUUACACUCAAUAAUCAACGGGUUAUGGUCGUUCAUCCAUUAGCUUCGAUUCUUUGGUUCAAGGUAUUCACUAUAUCAAGUUUUUAUCUUCAAUUCGAUUUGUCUUUUUGGGUUGUAUUUUUUCUUGUUUAUGAGUUCACAUCACAAGAAACUAUUUUAUAAUAAACUCAAACCUAGGCUCAAGCCACAUCAUGUCAACGCGUACUUGCAUAUUCAAAACCCACUUUACUUAUGUCAUUUUCCCUCUAAAAAAUUAGGUUCCUAUUGGUCUCAAUAUUAACUCUUCACCUUCUCACUAAAUAAGCCACAAGAAAAACUUAUUUCUUUCUAAUGUGGGAUAGAGUUUUUAGAAGGCUUUGGGUUUCACUAAAAUAUAUGAAUCAAUGGUUAUUUGAGAAUAAUUUUUUAUUCAUCCACAAUUUAUUUAAAUCAUAUUAGUAGUAUAUGUUAAAGAGCUUAUGUUGGAGAUUAAAUUCCAACACAGUUUUAACCCCAAAAGUGAAUGGAUCCACUUUUAAUUUGGCAUCAAAUAUUUUCAUUAACCAUGUUCCUAGACAAAAUUUGCAACAAAAUAUCCUCCUAACAAAGCAGAAUGUUUUUGUUACAAUACUAAUGUCAGUAAAAAUGAGUAACGGAUGUUGAUGUAUUUAGAUAUAACUAGUUUAUUUCCUACACUAUCGUUGUGGGUUGUAUGAAAUUUUUUUGGAAUAUAAGAAAACAAUAUAUAAAUUAUAUAAAACUUUUUUGCAUUGUUAUUAAACUAAGUACAAUGGUUCAAACUUGACAACUCUCAACAUGACUAUUUGUUUAGCCCAAGUUUUAAAUUAAAUCAUAUGAAAGUUGCCGUUAUGUGACCUUGUUUAUUGGGUAAGUGCAAAGAAAAACAAGGAGCAUGUCAGGUUAAACAUAAUCAACCCGCCAAAACCGUGACAGAAGUUAUAGGCUCUACUAGGUCAAAUUAUUUUUUAUUUUAUUUUAUUAUAUAAUAAAAAAAUAUAAAAUUUGAUUUACCAUUAACCCAAUAACCCAAUACUACAAAAUAAAAUUAAAGAAAAACCUCACAUUAAAGGAAUAAAAAAUAAAUAAAUAUGACAAAAAAUACUCAAAUGGUGUGUUACGAUAAAGCCAAACACGUGGGCUUGGGGAGGCCCACAGACGUGGCCCGUACACCUUUUUUUUAUUUGAAAAAAAAAAUCAACAUUCUCAUUUUUUAUUUGAAAAAAUAUAUUGCUGUCAGUAGGAAUCGAACCCAACACCUAUCUGCUUACUUACAACCACUUGAAUUAUGAAACGAACUACGAACUUGUUAACUAAGCUGUUAAAAUAUAUCAACUUAAUUUGAAUAAUUAAGUCAAAUCAAGUCAUUUAGUUGUUUCCUUUUUACUAUUAGAUUUGAAAUCAAUGGUUUUAACAAACCAGCAUUUUAGACUUUCCCAAAACAGACGUAUGCGCAAAAACAUUGAAUUGAAUUGAAAAUAUUGAUCUGAUCAUGCAUGGAUUUUCAUAUAAAAAAAACACAUCACCGUGGAAAGGACCUGGUGAGCAUUCAUCAGUAGAAUUCAGAGUCGCAAGUAAUCCUGGGACAUCCUUUACAAGGACUACAAGUAAUGCCUUGAAAAAGAGAGUUCGGCCUACCCAACUUGUAACCCGUAUUGUUCUUACAUCUACGAAGAGCACUACGUCGUAAAAAAGAGUAACAAAAUAAAAUAAACUCUAAGGCAACCAAAUGAAAAUGGUGAUUAAUUAAGGUGACUUGUCUGUUGCUGAUCAAUUGACCUCAUGUUCUUUUACUCUAUUUUUAUAUUGUUGUGAACCUACUUGAGUAAAAAGGACGACAAGAGAAUGUUUUCAGGAUUAAUAUGUAGGAAGUGGGUGCCAAAUUUAAUCAUUUAAUUUACAGAUAUCCUAUGCCAAGAAAUUAUCAAACUUCCAUGCAAGGUUCCUAAUUAAUAAAUGCAAAAAUUAGAAAACACAUGUUCUGCUUCCCAAUCUAUGUUGAUCCAUGAACAAGAAGACUUUAUGUAGCAUGUAAGAAACCUAGUAAGAUUAGGCUUCUAAUCCUUGUUUUCCAAGAAUGAACUCACCCACCUAACCUAACUGUGAAAAACGACAUGGCAGCAAUUCCCAUAUUCCCUUUAUAAGGUUGAGGUAGCCAGUCACGGAUGAAGACAACAAGCUUGAAAGCAAGAAGGAAACCAACAGCAACAGAGAGAUUGCCAAAGAAAGGUCUCGAAGUCAGCAAAUAUGGAGUACUCCAAUUGGCUCAUCCGUUUUAUGCUUCUUGCUGUCUGCCUCCUCCCUGCUUUGGUCGAGUGCAGGAUUCGGCAUUACAAGUUCAAUGUAAGUUAAAUGCUGUAGCAAGCUUCCAUGUGACGAAAGCGUGAACUGCUUGAGCUUUCGGUCAUUAGUCUCAUUCAUGUGACGAAAAUCUUCUUUGAAAUGCAUUUCGUUAUUAGAAGAUAGCCAUGUUUUGCACGAUGCAUUGCACAUCAUGACACUGCCUUGGCUUAAAAUCAUGCAACUUUACCCAUAUCUUUUUCCUGACUAGUCCAUGAUUCAAAUGGAAAUCAUAGAGUUUCCACCUACCUAUAGCCACUAUUUUAAAUACCAGAAAAGUUUAUUCUCAUGCUUACUUUAUGGUUAAAUAAUUGCAGCAGAAAGCUCUCACUAUAUAUAUAUAUAUAUAUAUAUAUAUAUGUUCAAGAAACCAUUAAAAAAAUAUUAAAUAGGAAAAGGGUGGUAAGAUCUCAAAGCACUGUAGUGACAUAAUUUGUCACAACAAAUUAAACAAUAUGGACAGUUUAGCAGUCAUGACCUUUGAAUUAUAUACAUUUGAUGUAGAAAUGAGCUUAAAUAUUUCACCUAUCAUUUCAACAGGUGGUGAUGAAAAAUACUACCAGACUAUGCUCUAGGAAGCCGAUUGUUACCGUCAAUGGCCGCUUCCCAGGACCCACUCUGUAUGCCAGAGAACACGAUACAGUUCUUGUAAAAGUUGUUAACCAUGUCAAAUAUAAUGUUUCUAUUCACUGGUAAGCUAACGAAACAAACCCCGUAUAACAGUUAUACUUCAAUUGAUCAUGAAUGAUACCGAUGCGGAUUUUUCUUGGUAUUCGGCAGGCAUGGCAUUAGGCAACUAAGAACGGGCUGGGCUGAUGGACCAGCAUACAUUACACAAUGCCCCAUUCAGCCAGGGCAAAGCUAUGUCUACAAUUUCACAAUCACUGGUCAGAGGGGCACACUUCUUUGGCACGCACAUAUUCUCUGGCUAAGGGCCACAGUUCAUGGUGCCAUGGUUGUCUUGCCUAAACGCGGCAUCCCCUACCCAUUCCCAGCUCCUCAUAAAGAAGUGGUUGUUGUAUUAGGUGAGCACGAUACAUAAUAGUUAUUUCUUUCACUAAAACUUUUGAAAUUAUGUGCAUUCCGACCAUAAUUCAAUGCUUUAAGGUUCAUGUUUAUUAAAUAUGUAACCUGAGACUAAUGUGGUGACGUGAAAUUGCAGCUGAAUGGUGGAAAUCAGAUACUGAAGCUGUGAUCAACGAGGCUCUUAAAUCUGGAUUAGCUCCAAAUGUCUCUGAUGCUCACACAAUUAACGGCCAUCCAGGAGCUGUCUCAGCUUGUUCUUCACAGGGUAUUCAACUAAGAUUAAUGACCAUAAGAUAUACCUGAGAGUUCUGGCUCUCAAUGCUUGCUUUCUAAUAAAGGUCUGAUACAGAAAGAUUUUUGGAUUCAUGCAGGCGGUUUCACAUUGCCAGUCAAAAGUGGCGAGACCUACAUGCUACGGUUGAUCAAUGCUGCACUCAAUGAAGAGCUCUUCUUCAAAAUUGCAGGGCACAAGCUUACAGUCGUCGAAGUUGAUGCCACCUAUGUUAAACCAUUCAAAACCGAUACAGUCCUAAUUGCCCCAGGCCAGACCACCAAUGUCCUUGUCACAACUAACAAAAAUACAGGCAAGUACUUGGUUGCUGCCUCCCCGUUCAUGGAUGCUCCAAUUGCUGUGGACAACAUGACAGCA